rnacentral:rRNA from 1 species
CCGGUCCGCCUCACCGCGUGCACUGGUCCGGCCGGGCCUUUCCCUCUGUGGAACCGCAUGCCCUUCACUGGGUGUGCCGGGGAAAAAGGACUUUUACUUUGAAAAAAUUAGAGGCCCCCCGCCAGCCCUUUGCUCGAAAACCUUUCCCUGGGAAUAAUAGAAUAGGACGUGUGGUUCUAUUUUGUUGGGUUUCUAGGACCGCCGUUAUGAUUAAUAGGGACAGUCGGGGGCAUCAGUAUUCAAUUGUCAGAGGUGAAAUUCUUGGAUUUAUUGAAGACUAACUACUGCGAAAGCAUUUGCCAAGGAUGUUUCCAUUUUUCAGGAACGAAAGUUAGGGGAUCGAAGACGAUCAGAUACCGUCGUAGUCUUAACCAUAAACUAUGCCGACUAGGGAUCGGACGAUGUUAUUUUUUGACUCGUUCGGCACCUUACGAGAAAUCAAAGUGCUUGGGCUCCAGGGGGAGUAUGGUCGCAAGGCUGAAACUUAAAGAAAUUGACGGAAGGGCACCACCAGGGGUGGAGCCUGCGGCUU